UGAAGUCACUUGGACAAGAUGGAAGCCUGUGCUCUACUUAGGACUCUCUGCUUGCAACUAAUAUGCAUGCCAGCCUAGCGAAAUGCGCACUGAAGAAUGAUGAUCGAUAGCUCCAAAUAUGCACCCCAAAUGCAAACAACAAUUCUGGAUUCUUUGGAACAGAGAAACAGCAGCUGGAGAAAAGGGGCAUGGAGUAUUCACAAACCUAAUUCUGCUAAAAAGCUUAACCCAGUAACACCUAUGGCAAAAAGAAUUCUGGUUGAAAAAUAUAACAGUUAAAUGCACUGGAUCUCUGUCAAAAUGAAAGAAACAUGAGCUAACUUCAUCUCAGAAUGUGAAAGUUUCAUACUUCCUCUUUGGAUAGUGCUUUCUCCUGUAAAGUAAAUUUAUCGAAUGUACAUGCUCCCUAGCUGCAGAAUUAAAAACAGCAUACAUUGCAGUAAUUUGAGGAAUAUUAUAUGCACAUCACUUUCCUUUUGACAACAAUUUAAAAAGACAGGCUAAUAAUGAGGAAUACUCUGCAUCUGACGAUUCUUUAGGAGAAAAUGCAUUUUAUUGCCAUGAGGCACAUUGACUUAAAUGAGGUGUGACCAGCAGAAGGCACUGUUACAAUAAAUAUAUAUGCUACUGCUCUCAUUUACAAGCAGGUUUUGAAAUUGAGACUGGAAGUUUGACUAACUUUUCACAAUACAGUGAUUGUUGUCCCCCCAGCCUCCAAUUCCCAAGCCACCCUUGUCAAUGGAAAUAAUCUCACAGAAGUGAUCCAAAGUCCUUUUCAGCCAAUUCCUUUUGUAUUCCCAUCCAGAGCUAACCCUAGUCAACUUUCAUCGCACUGCACUUUUUUGUUCAGCAGAAAAUUGUGUCCACACUUACCAGUUUAGCACUCCUUUAUGCUGAGUUGUGUCCUCGUGAAAUGAGACCCCCACAUUGCUGAGCAGCCAGACAUUGCCUUCAGAGUGGGUUUAAGCUUACAUAACUCACUUCAAAACAAGCUUCUAGCAUCCCGUCUUAUUAACCUUUAGUGGUUUAGCUGAACUCUUUUCUGGGAUUUUUAAAUGGAGCUGCUGCAGAUAUAGUCAAAUGUACCUUUUUAAUUAAAUCUCUCUCUCUCUCUUUCUCUCUCGCUCUCUCUCCCCCUUCCCAAACAAGUAAUAAUGGCCUUUAGUAUAUGUUAGUAUACAAAAAAAUCUGUGGAACGCCAGCUCAGGUUUACAAAUUCCAAGUUAAAAGAACCAGCGUAAGGAAGAGGGGGGAGAAAAAGGGAAAAAAUGUUACAGCAUCUGUUUGGAUUUUUGUAUUUCAAAGUCCUGACUACUUUAUCUGAAUUACAGAUUUAGGGCUUUGUUAUGUGUGAUAGGUAUGAUAAUAUGAUCACUAAAGGCACAGAGACAGGGAGACUCAAAUCCCUUUGAAAAUCCCUUUCUCUAUUUCCUACAGCUGCUUCUAGAGUUUAAUAUCUGAUAGAAUGAUG